ACGAUAUAGUGGCAGACGGGUGAGUAACGCGUGGGAACAUGCCCUUCACUAAGGAAUAGCUUUUGGAAACGAAAGGUAAUACCUUAUACGCCCUUAGGGGGAAAGAUUUAUCGGUGAAAGAUUGGCCCGCGUUAGAUUAGCUAGUUGGUAAGGUAAGAGCUUACCAAGGCUACGAUCUAUAGCUGGUCUGAGAGGACGACCAGCCACACUGGGACUGAGACACGGCCCAGACUCCUACGGGAGGCAGCAGUGGGGAAUAUUGCACAAUGGGCGAAAGCCUGAUGCAGCCAUGCCGCGUGAAUGAUGAAGGCCUUAGGGUUGUAAAAUUCUUUCGCUAGGGAUGAUAAUGACAGUACCUAGUAAAGAAGCCCCGGCUAACUUCGUGCCAGCAGCCGCGGUAAUACGAAGGGGGCUAGCGUUGUUCGGAAUUACUGGGCGUAAAGCGCACGUAGGCGGAUUAUUAAGUCAGAUGUGAAAUCCCAAGGCUCAACCUUGGAACUGCAUUUGAAACUGGUAAUCUAGAGAUCAGGAGAGGUUAGUGGAAUACCGAGUGUAGAGGUGAAAUUCGUAGAUAUUCGGUGGAACACCAGUGGCGAAGGCGACUAACUGGACUGAUACUGACGCUGAGGUGCGAAAGUGUGGGGAGCAAACAGGAUUAGAUACCCUGGUAGUCCACACCGUAAACGAUGAGAGCUAGUUGUCUGCAGGCAUGCCUGUAGGUGACGCAGCUAACGCAUUAAGCUCUCCGCCUGGGGAGUACGGCCGCAAGGUUAAAACUCAAAGAAAUUGACGGGGGCCCGCACAAGCGGUGGAGCAUGUGGUUUA
rnacentral:rRNA from 1 species